AUUGAACGCUGGCGGCAUGCCUUACACAUGCAAGUCGAACGGUAACAGGUCUUCGGAUGCUGACGAGUGGCGAACGGGUGAGUAAUACAUCGGAACGUGCCCGAUCGUGGGGGAUAACGAAGCGAAAGCUUUGCUAAUACCGCAUACGAUCUAAGGAUGAAAGCAGGGGACCGCAAGGCCUUGCGCGAACGGAGCGGCCGAUGGCAGAUUAGGUAGUUGGUGGGAUAAAAGCUUACCAAGCCGACGAUCUGUAGCUGGUCUGAGAGGACGACCAGCCACACUGGGACUGAGACACGGCCCAGACUCCUACGGGAGGCAGCAGUGGGGAAUUUUGGACAAUGGGCGAAAGCCUGAUCCAGCCAUGUCGCGUGCAGGAUGAAGGCCUUCGGGUUGUAAACUGCUUUUGUACGGAACGAAAAGACUCUGGUUAAUACCUGGGGUCCAUGACGGUACCGUAAGAAUAAGCACCGGCUAACUACGUGCCAGCAGCCGCCGCAG
rnacentral:rRNA from 1 species